UACAGAGGUCUCAAGCGUUGUUCGGAUUCAUUGGGCGUAAAGGGUGUGUAGGUGGCGCCGUAAGUCGGGUGUGAAAUUUCGGAGCUUAACUCCGAAACUGCAUUCGAUACUGCGGUGCUUGAGGACUGGAGAGGAGACUGGAAUUCAUGGUGUAGCAGUGAAAUGCGUAGAGAUCAUGAGGAAGACCAGUGGCGAAGGCGAGUCUCUGGACAGUUACUGACGCUGAGGCACGAAGGCCAGGGGAGCAAACGGG
rnacentral:rRNA from 1 species